rnacentral:rRNA from 1 species
GACGAACGCUGGCGGCGUGCCUAAUACAUGCAAGUCGAGCGCUGAAGGUUGGUACUUGUACCAACUGGAUGAGCAGCGAACGGGUGAGUAACGCGUGGGGCAUCUGCCUUUGAUCGGGGGACAACAUUUGGAAACGAAUGCUAAUACCGCAUAAAAACUUUAAACACAAGUUUUAAGUUUGAAAGAUGCAAUUGCAUCACUCAAAGAUGAUCCCGCGUUGUAUUAGCUAGUUGGUGAGGUAAAGGCUCACCAAGGCGAUGAUACAUAGCCGACCUGAGAGGGUGAUCGGCCACAUUGGGGCUGGGACACGGCCCAAACUCCUACGGGAGGCAGCAGUAGGGAAUCUUCGGCAAUGGGCGGAAGUCUGACCGAGCAACGCCGCGUGAGGGAAGAAGGUUUUCGGGUCGGAAAACUCUGUUGGUAGGGAAGAACGUUGGUGAGAGUGGAAAGCUCAUCAAGUGACGGUAACUACACAGAAAGGGACGGCUAACUACGUG